rnacentral:rRNA from 1 species
CCAAUAGCGUAUAUUAAAGUUGUUGCAGUUAAAAAGCUCGUAGUUGAAUUUCGGGAUCAAUUUAUCGGUCGUGCCUAUGGUAUGAACUGGUACAAUUGGUUUCUCCCUUCUGACGAAGCAUGAUGUCAUUAAUUUGGUGUCGUGGGGAAUCAGGACUGUUACUUUGAAAAAAUUAGAGUGUUUAAAGCAAGCAUUAGCUUGAAUACAUUAGCAUGGAAUAAUGAAAUAGGACGUUUGAUCCUAUUUCGUUGGUUUCUAGGAUCGACGUAAUGAUUAAUAGGGAUAGUUGGGGGCAUUAGUAUUCAAUUGUCAGAGGUGAAAUUCUUGGAUUUAUUGAAGACUAACUACUGCGAAAGCAUUUGCCAAGGAUGUUUUCAUUAAUCAAGAACGAAAGUUAGGGGAUCGAAGACGAUCAGAUACCGUCGUAGUCUUAACCAUAAACUAUGCCGACUAGGGAUCGGAUGAUGUUAAUUUUAUAAUGACUCAUUCGGCGCCUUACG